AGGAACUUAGGAUAUAUUUAAACCAAUAGCCUUCAAAGCCAUUAAAAGAGAUUGACCUCUUAGUUCCU
rnacentral:tRNA from 1 species